CCUACCGGCCCGCGGAAGGCCAGUCUUGCCGGCCAUGCAGCGUCUGUGACAGGACUUUGGUCUACAAGCAGAAAUGUACCGCAACUUCCAACGCCGUUUGUGAAUGUGCUCCGGGUUAUUCAUGUGGGAAAAAUUGUGAGGCGUGUAAGUGUGAGCUCGGACAGCAACGCACGAUUGCAGGUUGUCAAAGCUGUCCAGACAAGACUUUCAAUGAUCAGCGUACAGGUGAAUGCCGACCAUGGAGAAAGUGUCCGGGUGGUAAGAUUCAAGAACCAGGGACCGAGAAGAAAGAUGUGGUUUGCUGGACUCAGCCAGAAGUCUCCACCAGCCAGCCUUUCACUUCCCUGUCUGUCUUCUCUACUAAGGUUUC